rnacentral:rRNA from 1 species
UACCAGCACCCCCGAGUGGUCGGGACGAUUAUUGGGCCUAAAGCAUCCGUAGCCGGUUCUACAAGUCUUCCGUUAAAUCCACCUGCUUAACAGAUGGGCUGCGGAGGAUACUAUAGAGCUAGGAGGCGGGAGAGGCAAGCGGUACUUAGUGGGUAGGGGUAAAAUCCUCUGAUCCAUUGAAGACCACCAGUGGCGAAGGCGGCUUGCCAAUACGCGCUCGACGGUGAGGGAUGAAAGCUGGGGGAGCAAACCGG